rnacentral:rRNA from 1 species
AUUGAACGCUGGCGGCAGGCCUAACACAUGCAAGUCGAACGAGUGGCGGACGGGUGAGUAAUGUCUGGGAAACUGCCCGAUGGAGGGGGAUAACUACUGGAAACGGUAGCUAAUACCGCAUACCAUCGGAUGUGCCAAGAUGGGAGUAGCUUGUAGGUGAGGUAAAGGAUCACCUAGGCGACGAUCCCUAGCUGUUCUGAGAGGAUGACCAGCCACACGGGAACUGACACACGGUCCAGACUCCUACGGGAGGCAGCAGUGGUGAAUAUUGCAUGAUGGGCGCGAGCCUGAUGCAGGCAUGCCGCGGGUAUGAAGAAGGCCUUUGGUUUGUAAAGUACUUUCAGCGGGGAGGCGUUACCCGCAGAAGAAGCACCGGCUAACUCCGUGCCAGCAGCCGCGGUAAUAC